UCCUGGCUCAGGAUGAACGCUAGCGGCAGGCUUAACACAUGCAAGUCGAGGGGCAGCGGGGAGGAAGCUUGCUUUCUCCGCCGGCGACCGGCGCACGGGUGAGUAACACGUAUGCAACCUGCCCCUGUCAGGGGGACAACCCGCCGAAAGGCGGGCUAAACCCGCGUACAUGCCACCGGGGCAUCCCGGAGGCAGGAAAGGCUUCGGCCGGACAGGGAUGGGCAUGCGGCGCAUUAGGCAGUAGGCGGGGUAACGGCCCACCUAACCGACGAUGCGUAGGGGUUCUGAGAGGAAGGUCCCCCACACUGGUACUGAGACACGGACCAGACUCCUACGGGAGGCAGCAGUGAGGAAUAUUGGUCAAUGGUCGGGAGACUGAACCAGCCAAGCCGCGUGAGGGAGGAAGGUACAGAGUAUCGUAAACCUCUUUUGUCAGGGAACAAAGACUGGGACGCGUCCCCGGAUGAGUGUACCUGAAGAAAAAGCAUCGGCUAACUCCGUGCCAGCAGCCGCGGUAAUACGGAGGAUGCGAGCGUUAUCCGGAUUUAUUGGGUUUAAAGGGUGCGCAGGCGGUCUGUUAAGUCAGCGGUCAAAGCCCGGGGCUCAACCCCGGCCCGCCGUUGAAACUGGCAGUCUCGAGUUGGAGAGAAGUAUGCGGAAUGCGCGGUGUAGCGGUGAAAUGCAUAGAUAUCGCGCAGAACUCCGAUAGCGAAGGCAGCAUGCCGGCUCCACACUGACGCUGAGGCACGAAAGCGUGGGUAUCGAACAGGAUUAGAUACCCUGGUAGUCCACGCAGUAAACGAUGAAUGCUGGCUGUCCGGGGGGACUGACCCCUGGGUGCGAAGCGAAAGCGAUAAGCAUUCCACCUGGGGAGUACGCCGGCAACGGUGAAACUCAAAGGAAUUGACGGGGGCCCGCACAAGCGGAGGAACAUGUGGUUUAAUUCGAUGAUACGCGAGGAACCUUACCCGGGCUCAGACGGGGAGUGGCGCAGGCAGAGACGCCUGUUUCCCACGGGACACUCCCCGAGGUGCUGCAUGGUUGUCGUCAGCUCGUGCCGUGAGGUGUCGGCUUAAGUGCCAUAACGAGCGCAACCCCCGCGUGCAGUUGCUAACAGUCAACGCUGAGGACUCUGCACGGACUGCCGGCGCAAGCCGCGAGGAAGGCGGGGAUGACGUCAAAUCAGCACGGCCCUUACGUCCGGGGCGACACACGUGUUACAAUGGGUGGUACAGCGGGAAGCCAGGCGGCGACGCCGAGCGGAACCCGAAAUCCACUCUCAGUUCGGAUCGGAGUCUGCAACCCGACUCCGUGAAGCUGGAUUCGCUAGUAAUCGCGCAUCAGCCAUGGCGCGGUGAAUACGAACCCGGGCCUUGCACACACCGCCCGUCA
rnacentral:rRNA from 1 species